GUGGGGAAUCUUGCGCAAUGGGCGAAAGCCUGACGCAGCCAUGCCGCGUGAAUGAUGAAGGUCUUAGGAUUGUAAAAUUCUUUCACCGGGGACGAUAAUGACGGUACCCGGAGAAGAAGCUCCGGCUAACUUCGUGCCAGCAGCCGCGGUAAUACGAAGGGGGCUAGCGUUGCUCGGACUUACUGGGCGUAAAGGGCGCGUAGGCGGACAGCUUAGUCAGAGGUGAAAGCCCAGGGCUCAACCUUGGAAUUGCCUUUGAUACUGGCUGUCUUGAGUUUGGGAGAGGUGAGUGGAACUCCGAGUGUAGAGGUGAAAUUCGUAGAUAUUCGGAAGAACACCAGUGGCGAAGGCGACUCACUGGCCCAAUACUGACGCUGAGGCGCGAAAGCGUGGGGAGCAAACAGGAUUAGAAACCCCAGUAGUCC
rnacentral:rRNA from 1 species